UUUCCCGGGGCUUAUUUUCGCAUUCCCAGCGAUGGAGACCCACGCCGGGCAAGGCUGUGGAGACCGUUUAGGGCUUGAGCUAGAGACUGACGUCUGAUCGUUUCAACUGAAUCUACGAGUGAACACAGAAAAAAGCCUGAACUCACUCAAGUAACUUGUGCGGAUGUGAAUGUGUACGCAAAAGUGGGUAGAAAUGGAAAUUUGGUUCCGGCUUCAUCUUCAAACGGCUGUUUAAAAUACCCAGAAACCCAGACAAAUCAUAGCCGUGACGCCUUCCUGAUUUAUAGGCUGAGAUUUCACUCUCACAGUAGACUCCCGCGUCAUGGACUUCUAGGAUCAGUUUUUUGCCAUUUGAAAUGGGAAAUUUGUUUUGGUUGUCAAGACGGCACGAUGUAAGAAGAUAAGGAUAAAAAUGUGAAUGGAUUACGCUCUGACCACUCAAGCAAUACGUUUAAUAACCUGAACAGGUGAAAACUACUGCUCUUUAAAGUCACUGAACAGUCCUUCAAAGUCACCAUCGGUGAAAAAACCCACAUGUACUCUAAUAAUACGGCACAUCGAGCACUGCUUGAUAUACAGUGAAAUCUUUCUUCUCCCUGGAACUAUAUUUCUUAUUUCCUGAAAAUGAAAUAAAAUUAGCCUAAAUCAA